rnacentral:rRNA from 1 species
AACGAACGCUGGCGGCAUGCCUAACACAUGCAAGUCGAACGAGACCUUCGGGCCUAGUGGCGCACGGGUGCGUAACGCCUGGGAACCUGCCCUUAGGUUCGGAAUAACUCCCCGAAAGGGGAGCUAAUACCGGAUAAUGUCUUCGGACCAAAGAUUUAUCGCCUUUGGAUGGGCCCGCGUUGGAUUAGCCAGUUGGUAGGGUAAAAGCCUACCAAGGCGACGAUCCAGAGCUGGUCUGAGAGGAUGAUCAGCCACACUGGGGCUGAGACACGGCCCAGACUCCUACGGGAGGCAGCAGUGGGGAAUAUUGGACAAUGGGCGAAAGCCUGAUCCAGCAAUGCCGCGUGAGUGAUGAAGGCCUUAGGGUUGUAAAUCUCUUUUACCCGGGAUGAUAAUGACAGUACCGGGAGAAGAAGCUCCGGCUAACUCCGUG